CACGUAGGGACCAAGCGUUGUCCGGAUUCAUUGGGCGUAAAGAGCUCGUAGGCGGUUCAGUAAGUCGGGUGUGAAACCUCCAGGCUCAACCUGGAGACGCCACCCGAUACUGCUGUGACUAGAGUCCAGUAGGGGAGCGUGGAAUUCCUGGUGUAGCGGUGAAAUGCGCAGAUAUCAGGAGGAACACCGGUGGCGAAGGCGGGUCUCUGGGCCGAUACUGACGCUGAGGAGCGAAAGCGUGGGGAGCGAACAGG
rnacentral:rRNA from 1 species